GAUGAAGAACGUAGCGAAACGCGAUAUGUAAUGUGAAUUGCAGAAUUCAGUGAAUCAUCGAAUCUUUGAACGCACAUAGCGCCUUCCAGUAUCCUGGGAGGCAUGCCUGUCCGAGCGUCGUUUCAACCCUCGAGCCCCCGUGGCCCGGCGUUGGGGAUCUGCCCAGGCAGUCCCCGAAAACCAGUGGCGGACCCGUUACAGGCCCUUCCCUUGCGUAGUAGCAUUCGCCUCGCAUCGGGAGCCGGCGGGCUUCCAGCCUCUAAACCCCCAUCAAGUCCGCCCCGGCGGCACCAAGGUUGACCUCGGAUCAGGUAGGAAUACCCGCUGAACUUAAGCAUAUCAAUAAGCGGAGGA
rnacentral:misc_RNA from 1 species